AGUAAUUAGUCAGGGACCAAAAUUCAAAUACAAAAUGGAUUUUCAGGUGAAGAUUUUCAGCUUCCUGCUAAUCAGUGUCUCAGUCAUAAUGUCCAGAGGAGAAAUUGUGCUCACCCAGUCUCCAGCUAUCAUGGCUGCAUCUCCUGGGGAGAAGGUUACCAUCACCUGCAGUGCCAGCUCAAGUGUAAGUUACAUGAACUGGUACCAGCAGAAGCCAGGAUCCUCCACCAAACCCUGGAUUUAUGGUACAUCCAACCUGGCUUCUGGAGUUCCAGCUCGCUUCAGUGGCAGUGGGUCUGGGACCUCUUACUCUCUCACAAUCAGCAGCAUGGAGGCUGAAGACUUUGCCACUUAUUACUGCCAGAAGUGUUGUGGUAACCCACCCACACAGUGAUACAGACUGCAGCAAAAAC